AUGACUCCAGUCUCCAGCACAACUGUCCAAGGCAACUCCGGGGGAGGGGAACGAAACGCAUCCGGCGGAGCUACCAUGGCGUCGUCGCCGCAGCAAGGCCAAGGCCAGGCCCAAGGCGGCGGCGGCGGCGGCGUCUGCCCGGCGGAGCAGUUCUGGUCGCUGCUGGACAAGGCGGACCGGCGGUUCGCCCGGGUGCGGGACCUGCCCCUCUUCGGCCGCCAGGAGCCCGCGGAGUACGGCAAGGCCUUCCGCAUCUACACCCAGCUUUGGCGCAUGCAGCAGGAGCACCGCCACCGCCUCCUCGACGCCGGCCUCCGCCGCUGGCAGGUCGGCGAGAUCGCCGCCCGCAUCGCCCACCUCUACUACUCCCAGUACCAGCGCGCCUCCGACACCGCCCUCCUCUCCGAGGCCUUCGUCUUCUACCACGCCGUCCUCGACCGCGCCUACUUCCUCGACGACCACCUCGGGGCCUCCACCAAGCACCUGCGCUUCCUCGCCAGGUUCCUCCUCGUCGCGCUUAUCCUCUCCCGCCGCGCGCAGACUGUGCCCCGCCUCGCCGGCCAAAUCCGGUCGCUCCUCGACGAAUCCAAGAAGACCCUCCAGGAAGCUGAUUACAGGGAGUGGAAGCAUGUCGUGCAAGAAAUCACGAGGUUUCUAAAGGCUGACUCGCCCUUCAUGAACAAGAGACCUCUCAGGUACAGCUAUGCAUUCGAUCCUCCCCCGGAAACUCUUCCGACCAUCCCACCUACAGUCAAAAAGCGCGGUCUGCUCUUAAGCGAUGCCAUCCUGUGCAGCUACUAUCAUAACGAGGUCAAAUUUACCGACCUCACUCUAGACACAUUCAGAAUGCUUCAGUGUCUUGAAUGGGAACCAUGUGGCUCCUUUGCACAAAACAAUGGUUACAGCGCCCAUGAUGAAAGUGGGCAAAAUCACCCCAAUCUCCUGAAAGAUCUGAGAGACGCUGCGUUGCCCCCGAACCCACUGAAAACAGUUCUCUAUCGCCCCUCGGUGCCACAUUUCCUGAAGGUCCUUGCCACCAAAUGUGAGGAGCUCCCAUUGAAUACUAUGAUGUUGAUAUACCUUUCGGCUGCAGGCGAGGUGGGAUCCUCUGGACUUGGUCCCGAUACAAGCGAGAGGGUUGUGAACAGCUUUAGUCAGUUUGACAUAUCUAAUACCAGGGCCGUCACUUCAAAGGAAGAUAAAGAACCAUGUCUUUGGUUAGGUUGCCGUGAAGGUGAAGGCUCAAACUGCAUAUACCCUUGUGAUAUGAUCCCGUUUACAAGGAGACCUCUCUUUCUGGUGAUUGACAGUAACAUCAGCUAUGCAUUUAAGUCAAUUCAUGGGGCUGAAAAAGGGGAGACAGCUGCCAUGUUACUUUCUCCAAGCUCCCGAUCUUGCGCUGUAGGAUUCAGUGGGGACUCUACUCGGCAGAGUGGUAGUCAAUUUACUAUGUUCCUCACAGCUCCAGUGCAAGCUUUCUGCUUUCUGAUCGGCAAUAAUGGGCUGGACAUUAUUGACAAGGAUUAUAACAAAGCCGAGGAGCUACUAUCCUUGUCAUUGAAUGAAUGGGCUAUGACUUUGGUUGCUUCGUCUUCACUUGACCCUGUCUGGGUUGAAGUUUUAGGCGAUCCACUCCUGAGGCGACUGCUUCUCAGGUUUAUCUUCUGCCGAGCCACGCUUUCGCUGUUCAAAGCGAGCAACGAUAAGGCGGAAUGCUUGCCAAGCUGUGUGCCUCCAUUGCCGGAAUCGGUUGGGGGAGAAAGCAUGCUGUCGCAAUGUUGUGUGAUGCGAGUGGCAUCUUUCUUGGGCGCCGCUGACCAAUUCUCGUUCGCCGAGGUUACUACAUGGCCUGACAUUGAUGAGCCCACCAGCAGUGGAGGUGUCGACAAAGAGUUAUGA
rnacentral:rRNA from 1 species